UACGAAGGGGGCUAGCGUUGCUCGGAAUUACUGGGCGUAAAGGGAGCGUAGGCGGACAUUUAAGUCAGGGGUGAAAUCCCAGAGCUCAACUCUGGAACUGCCUUUGAUACUGGAUGUCUUGAGUGUGAGAGAGGUGAGUGGAACUCCGAGUGUAGAGGUGAAAUUCGUAGAUAUUCGGAAGAACACCAGUGGCGAAGGCGACUCACUGGCUCAUUACUGACGCUGAGGCUCGAAAGCGUGGGGAGCAAACAGG
rnacentral:rRNA from 1 species